ensembl:snRNA U2 U2 spliceosomal RNA
AUCGCUUCUCGGCCUUUUGGCUAAGAUCAAGUGUAGUAUCUGUUCUUAUCAGUUUAAUAUCUGAUACGUCCCCUACCCGGGGACCAUAUAUUAAAUUGAUUUUUGGAAUAGGGAGAUGGAAUAGGGGCUUGCUCCGUCCACUCCACGCAUCGACCUGGUAUUGCAGUACCUCCAGGAACGGUGCACCCCCA